CCUACGGGAGGCAGCAGUGAGGAAUAUUGGUCAAUGGGCGGAAGCCUGAACCAGCCAAGUCGCGUGAGGGAUGAAGGUACAGAGUAUCGUAAACCUCUUUUGUCAGGGAACAAAGGCGGGGACGCGUCCCCGGAUGAGUGUACCUGAAGAAAAAGCAUCGGCUAACUCCGUGCCAGCAGCCGCGGUAAUACGGAGGAUGCGAGCGUUAUCCGGAUUUAUUGGGUUUAAAGGGUGCGCAGGCGGUCUGUUAAGUCAGCGGUCAAAGCCCGGGGCUCAACCCCGGCCCGCCGUUGAAACUGGCAGUCUCGAGUUGGAGAGAAGUAUGCGGAAUGCGCGGUGUAGCGGUGAAAUGCAUAGAUAUCGCGCAGAACUCCGAUUGCGAAGGCAGCAUGCCGGCUCCACACUGACGCUGAGGCACGAAAGCGUGGGUAUCGAACAGGAUUAGAUACCCCAGUAGUC
rnacentral:rRNA from 1 species